GUAGGGGGCAAGCGUUAUCCGGAUUUACUGGGUGUAAAGGGAGCGUAGACGGCGAGACAAGUCUGGAGUGAAAGCCCAGGGCCCAACCUUGGGACUGCUUUGGAAACUGCCUUGCUGGAGUGCUGGAGAGGUAAGUGGAAUUCCUAGUGUAGCGGUGAAAUGCGUAGAUAUUAGGAGGAACACCAGUGGCGAAGGCGGCUUACUGGACAGUAACUGACGUUGAGGCUCGAAAGCGUGGGGAGC
rnacentral:rRNA from 1 species